rnacentral:rRNA from 1 species
AAUGGCCUACCAAGACAAUGAUCAAUAGCUGAUUUGAGAGGAUGAUCAGCCACAUUGGGACUGAGACACGGCCCAAACUCCUACGGGAGGCAGCAGUAGGGAAUCUUGCACAAUGGGGGAAACCCUGAUGCAGCGAUGCCGCGUGAGUGAAGAAGGCCUUUGGGUUGUAAAGCUCUUUCGUCGGGGAAGAAAAUGACUGUACCCGAAUAAG